UUUUCAAUGUGAGUCAGUGAGUGACCGGUGACUGGCUGCUGCAGCCAAUGAUGCGAUUCACAUACGUAUUUACCAUAGAUUGUAUAUAAUGGUAUUUACGCAGCUAAUCAACGUCAGGCGUCCUUAUGUGCAGCCAUCGUUGUUCUCAUAGAUAUGAAUGAGUAGAUAGGACACGCCCCUUUGAGCUGCGUGCUACAGCGAGGCUAAGCUAGUGGGGGCAAAGUUUCAGUGCAUUCUGUUGAUGUAGACGGCGUGAAAACGGAAACAAGUAUGCUGGCUCACUGUGCUGCAUACAGUUACACACUGCGUCGUACGAUUGAGACAAGGAAACUUGGAAUGACUUUUCAUAGGUUUCCCAGAGACUAUGGGUUGAGGAGGAAUUGGAAGUUUGUCAGCUUAGACCUGGUGUCAUUCCAUCAGUGUUAAACUUCCCGGUUCAUCUUGGAAGAGUACGUGCCAGAAAGACCACGACCAAGCAGCCUUGAGAUCUUAGGCAGCGUCUCCCUGAGGUCCCUCUCUAUCUCCCCACACAUCCACCAACCACUGGAACACAUCUCCAAAGUUCUGCCGGGCCAGCUCAGCUUCCCCUCAGAAGAAGUGGCGCCACCUGCCAGAUGAAGGAGCCUUUUGAGAGGCAGCUGGCAUCGUGAUUGGACUGUACUUUGGUCUGUUCCAAUCCAGCUUCAGCUCCAGAGACGGCAGGCGGGACGAGUCAACGGAGGCCUGGUGGACGAAGGCAUGCAGCUGAGUACAAUCCAGAAAACAACAGAGGAGGAGUGCAGCAGCCCAGGACCAGAACAACCAGAGUAGCAUCGUAUGUCUCUUAGAAAACAUCAUAGUAUAGCCUUUGGUAUGAAAAAACGCCAUCAUAUACAUCGUAUAUUGUACAAAUAACAAGUCAAAGCAAAGAGACAUACAUUGUAGAAUUGUAGUAAUUGUGGGCUGACUGAUUUACUGAUUAUCAGUAUUUUAUUUUUUACUGAUUUACGGUAAUAAAUACAUUUAAAAAUGGUG